AUGAAAAACCAAAAGACUACUUAUAUUGGCAACCCCCCAGCACUAAGUGGUGCAGGAACAAGUACGUGUCAAAAGGCACUUCUUCCUGGAAGCUAUUUGCACAGAAGCCUGAGCCCCAAGAACUGCGUUGUGCUGCUCAGGUGGGCUAAGAAAUCCCUCGCACUCAGGUUUUACCUCCUUUUGUGCAUCGACAAAAGAGGUGACCUUGUGGAGUUUAUGUGCUUGGGGCUUAUGUUGAAGUAUUGUG
rnacentral:lncRNA from 1 species